rnacentral:lncRNA from 1 species
AAAGUUUGGAAGAGUGCAUACUUGUCCCUAGGUCAGCCAGAUUACUUGCUCUGCUCUUCGCUGCGGGGCAUUCCUAUGGGUGCAGUGUGUGCUGUGCGGAGGGGGAGGUUUCCAGGGGCCUGAGGUCAGAUCUGCGUGUUGGUGUCUCGCCCAGUGCAUAACAAGGUUCAGCAAGGCCGCGUCCAGCCACAUGUGAGUAAAUGUUCAGUGCCUUGGCUCAGUGGGAGGCAAGGGCAGCCCCUUGAAAUCCUGAGCCAGAGGCAGCGAACCAGCCCUACGAGACCCUCUCUCCUAGACCUGCAGCUGUCCUGUGUUGCUGGUUCUC